AACGAACGCUGGCGGCGUGCCUAACACAUGCAAGUCGAACGGAAGUAAGAAGCUUGCUUUUUACUUUAGUGGCGCACGGGUGAGUAACACGUGGAUAAUCUGCCUGAUGCUCUGGGAUAACACUUCGAAAGGGGUGCUAAUACCGGAUAAGCCCACGAGGUCUACGGAUCUUGCGGGAAAAGGGGGGGACCUUCGGGCCUUCUGACAUCAGAUGAGUCCGCGUACCAUUAGCUAGUUGGCGGGGUAAAGGCCCACCAAGGCUACGAUGGUUAGCUGGUUUGAGAGAAUGAUCAGCCACACUGGAACUGAGACACGGGCCAGACUCCUACGGGAGGCAGCAGUGGGGAAUUUUGCGCAAUGGGGGAAACCCUGACGCAGCAACGCCGCGUGAGUGAUGAAGGCCUUCGGGUCGUAAAGCUCUGUCAAGAGGGAAGAAAUGUAUGGAGGCUAAUACCCUUUAUGCUUGACGGUACCUCUGGAGGAAGCACCGGCUAACUCCGUGCCAGCAGCCGCAGUAAUAC
rnacentral:rRNA from 1 species